AUUGAAAAUCGAAAUUGGAGAGUCAGUUGAAUUACCCCAAUAGUUGCCUCCCACUCUUAAGUCCAAGAUAGUCAGACAUGUGGGUUGUCACGUGGUCUGACAUGUUGGACGAAGGGAGUUGCCACGUAUUAUCUCGAGCUCCGAUUCGACUGCAGAUAUUAAUGAUUUUUCAAAAUAUGAAGGAUCUGCAGCCGUUUUGUCGUUUCGAUAAUUGUGAAAUUAUCAUUAGGGUGUCGCUUCAAGAAGAUAGUCUGGCAUCCAGUGAAUCCGGAUGAUUCGAUUCUGACUCAUUGAUUUUGGCCAUGUGUCCAGAUGUCAUUGGUUCUGUGCCGUUUAUGCGGAUAGUGGUGAAGUGACGUGAUCUGGAUUUGAGGAUAGGUGUGUCGAACCAUCCGAUCAAUGAUUGAUUUUGACGUAGUCAGACUAGUUGAUUUCAGCUAUGUGUCUAGAUGUUAUUGGUUCUGUGCCGUUCAUGCGGAUAGUGGUGAAGUGACGUGAUCUGGAUCUGAGGAUAGGUGCGUCGAACCGUCCGAUCAAUGAUCGAUUUUGACAUAGUCACGUAUCGAAAUCUGAGAAAACUCUGAUUUGAUUAACUCAUCCAGACUGUUGAAGGGUCCUAUAUAUAUAAUGUCCCUUUUCUUUGGAUUUUCUGCUUUUGUAUUCGUCAUUUUCCUCUGCAGCA
rnacentral:lncRNA from 1 species